rnacentral:rRNA from 1 species
AUUGAACGCUGGCGGCAGGCCUAACACAUGCAAGUCGAACGAGUGGCGGACGGGUGAGUAAUGUCUGGGAAACUGCCUGAUGGAGGGGGAUAACUAAUGGAAACGGUAGCUAAAACCGCAUACCAUCAGAUGUGCCCAGAUGGGAUUAGCUUGUUGGUGGGGUAAAGGCUCACCAAGGCGACGACCCCUAGCUGGUCGGGGAGGAUGACCAGCCACACGGAAACUGCGACACGGUCCAGACUCCUAGGGGGGGCAGCAGUGGGGAAUUUUGCACAAUGAGGGCAAUCCUGAUGCAGCCAUGCCGCGUGUAGGACGAAGGCCUUCGGGUUGUAAAGUACUUUCAGCGGGGAGGCGUUACCCGCAGAAGAAGCACCGGCUAACUCCGUGCCAGCAGCCGCGGUAAUUC